rnacentral:lncRNA from 1 species
AGAUUUCAUAGAUGAAUGACUAAAUGAGUGAAAGUGGAUAAAGGGAAAUAUAAAUUGAGCAAGCAGCAGAGUUGGGGACCAGGGUUUAUGUCUUGGUCAACAGGACGAGGAGUUGCAGAGAGAAGACUGGUCAGAACUGACAGUAAGGAACCAGAAGACUGGAUGUUAGGACCCUCACUCAUUCUUUCAUUUAUUCAGUCAUUCAACAAACAUUUUCUGUGCACUAGCUAUGCUCCCGGCAUGUUGCUGUGCUCUGGGGGAUCAUGGUGAGCAAAAGAGACAUAAUAAUUGCCCUCAAAGUGCUUACAGCCUAGAAGACUCUAUUUUACAAAUGAGGAAACUGAGUCCUAGAGAGGGAAGGGUAAUACAGCCAGCUGUUGACAAGGUCAGGAAAGGACACAAUAUCCUGACCUCUGCUUUUAAGUAUUAGAAACUACACCAAAGACCACAACUAGUGCAUCAGGAGCCAUAUCUGGUCCUCAAAAACAUUGUAUUUGGCUCACAUAGUGUUUGGAAAAUUGGGAAAUUCAGACAAACAUCAAGUUUUCAAGUUUCUCUUGAAAAUCAGAAGAUCUGGCAACGCUGGGCCCAUGCUUCCUCGUGGCAAAAAACUGACAGGAGCUGAAUAGCAAGCAGGUGUUUACUUUCAACACAGUCACCCCAUCUCCAUUCCCUUUGUGGCACCACCUGUCUCCCGUAGUCAUGUGACUUUGCAACCCCUAACAAAGGAUGGCAAACAUCACAUUCUUAUCCUGCAAGUGGAAGCUGCCAGCUACUCAACUUUUCUUUCUCAUCCGAUCUCCCCUCCAUCUUGCCUCUCAAGCCUGACUUCUACUCGAGCAUAGGAGCAAAACGGCGGGUGAGCUGACCCGGGAUUCUCUCCCCUCCAAAAUACAACAAAAGAUCGGAAGAACUGAAUUUCAGAGAAUAAACAUAAUGCCAGCUUGUUAGAGACCUACAAUACCAAGAAGGCGCUCAUACCUGAAAAAAGAAAAAAGGGAGAAAGGGGACACAAUCCACAGACUAGGGAGACCGAUGGAUAGGACCAGAACAGGAUAGCAAAUAUUCAAUUAUAGCAUUAGGGUAAAGGUAAGGAAACUACCAAAGCAAGGACGAUCUUAGCACUCUAACUACAAAUUAGUAAGACGAGUUGGAAUAAAAAAUGAAAAUAAUUAUUUAGGAGGGGAAGAGCAAAGGGUCUAAAUCAGUAUUGGUCAAGUAAGUAAGAGACCACCAGAGAAUAGACUAUAUUAUACACGAGAUUCUAAAUACAAACUUCAAGGUAGACACUAAAAUAAAGGACAGGACAGAGUCACAAAUCAUAAAUAAGGAAAAAUCUAAGAAACCCAGCAUAAGAAAUUGCAGUAUUAAAUGGGUAGUCUAAAGCAAACAGGAAAAGAAACACAGGAAAACAAGAUAAUGAGCGACAGAUUACAGCAUUAAGUUCACAUGCAUCAAUAAUCACUCUCAAUGUAAACGAGAUUGAACUCUCCAAUAAAA